UUUAAGUUUCAAUCUUGCGACCGUACUUCCCAGGCGGCAGACUUAACGGCUUCCCUGCGGCACUGCAUUGGCAAGAAGCCAAUGCAUCACCGAGUCUGCAUCGUUUACAGCUGGGACUACCCGGGUAUCUAAUCCGGUUUGCUCCCCCAGCUUUCAUCCCUCACUGUCGAACGUGUUCUGGCAGACCGCCUUCGCCACUGGUGGUCCUCAAAGGAUCAGAGGAUUUUACCCCUACCCCCCGAAUACCGUCUGCCUCUCCCACUCCCUAGUCUUGUAGUAUCUCCAGCGGCCCAUCUGUUAAGCAGGUGGAUUUAACCGGAGACUUGCAAAACCAGCUACGGAUGCUUUAGGCCCAAUAAUCGUCCUGACCACUCGAGGUGCUGGUAUUACCGCGGCGGCUGACACCAGACUUGCCCACCCCUUAUUCGCCCGUGCUUUUAGGACGGGCAAAAGAUUCCUUUAUCAGAAAUCACUCGGACUGACCCA
rnacentral:rRNA from 1 species